GCUUGUAAGCGUUGCGUAUCAUCAGAUCAAAGUACGCAUCGUGAUCUAUGCUCGCGCUGAUAACGCUGUAAUAAUUCAUGAAUUCCUCUGCCGUUACCUGCAACGAAGAGAAAAAACAACGCUGAUCGAGAAUUACGCAUCGAUGAAAGUCGGAGUUGCGUGACGUCGACCUCAUUCGCUAAUAACAGCGUAAAUAAAAGGAUUCUCUGGACUUACCUACCCAGACCGAGGAUGCCGUUGGCACCUCUAGCCAGGCAGAGCAGACGCAGCUUCUCAAUGGGAUCCGUUGUGAUGUGUAUGGC